CCUACGGGUGGCAGCAGUGGGGAAUAUUGCACAAUGGGCGCAAGCCUGAUGCAGCCAUGCCGCGUGUGUGAAGAAGGCCUUCGGGUUGUAAAGCACUUUCAGCGGGGAGGAAGGCGGUGAGGUUAAUAACCUCAUCGAUUGACGUUACCCGCAGAAGAAGCACCGGCUAACUCCGUGGCCAGCAGCCGCGGUAAUACGGAGGGUGCAAGCGUUAAUCGGAAUUACUGGGCGUAAAGCGCACGCAGGCGGUCUGUCAAGUCGGAUGUGAAAUCCCCGGGCUCAACCUGGGAACUGCAUUCGAAACUGGCAGGCUAGAGUCUUGUAGAGGGGGGUAGAAUUCCAGGUGUAGCGGUGAAAUGCGUAGAGGUCUGGAGGAAUACCGGUGGCGAAGGCGGCCCCCUGGACAAAGACUGACGCUCAGGUGCGAAAGCGUGGGGAGCAAACAGGAUUAGAUACCCUAGUAGUC
rnacentral:rRNA from 1 species